GUGACCUGAGAUUCGGCAUUUCUUCCAAACUCUCAGAGGACAGAGAUGCUGCUGGAUCACAAACCACAUCGAAUUAGCAAAGCAGUGAAGGUACCACAGAAAGCAUCCCUCAAACUAUCAUGUAAAAUGCAAGCUCCGUAAAGCCAAGGACAUUUUGCCUCUUAUUCACCACAGUAUACCCAGGACUUAAAACUGUGCCUUAUACAUGGAUAGCACUCAAUAAAUAUUUACUGAAUGAACAAAUGGAUAUAUGGUCUUAGACAAGUUCAACAGUAGCCACUGGUUACAUGUGGCUGCCGAACACUUGUCACGUGGCUAGUGACUUUUCAAAACUUCAAUUUUAAUUAAUUUAAAUAGCCACAUGUGGUUAGUGGCUACCAUAAUGGCCAAUCUAGGUCUAGACACAGAUGUGAUGUCAAGAGCCCUGGAUUAAUAAGACCUAGGUGUGAAUUCCAGCUCUCCUGCUUUAGCUUGUGACCUGGAAAGUUACAAUGUCUCAGGGCCUUAACUUCCUUCAUUUGUGAAAGGAGGACAAAAUACCCCCCACCCCAACCCCACCUCCAGCCUCUCAGGGUUCUUGACAAGAAUUGUUACAGGUCAUUGUAUUAACCAUAAAGUAUCGUCUCUGCCCUCCAGAAACACUUCACAAUCACAAAGAUUACUUUGACCAUUGCCCACACUUGCCAAAAAAUGUCAAGUCCGCUUGGUUAGCUGAGUGGCUCUGUGAAUGAGGCCAAGGUCAUAAGUUCGAAGGAGGGGGGACCUUCACGUGGCAAGGUUGACCAGGAAGCGCUGCCACAUUAUCUAAAGCCCGCUACUUCCCAUCCACAGACAUUUGCUAAUUGGGCCGGGUCCUCUUCGCGGGCAGAGGGCCGGGAAGCCCCCACCUCCGGCCGCCCGCGUGUCCUCCCCUCCUCCGUCGCGCGGGCCCGGCGAGGGUCAGCCUGGCACAGCGGCUCCAAGUACCACACCGCCGGACCGAACCAGGAGCCAUAUUUAGCUGUAUUUUUUGGUCAAUAAAACAAACUUCCGUCUUCUAAAGAAAAACGGUCCCAACUCAAUGUCAAACUAGGACGGAAACUCGAGGCUCGCCGCAGCUGCCAACCAGAGACGCCGCGUGUCCAGCAGCCCCCGAGUCCCCGACCCGGACCCCGCGCCUCGCGCGCCCGCGCCCCGGCCACGGCCGCGCCGGCCACAAAGGGACGGGAGACGCGGACGCGGCCGGGCCUCUCCGCCUCCUCCCGCCCCGAGCCAGCGGCCGCGGCUCCGGGACGGCCCGGGCGCGAGCGGACACUCACCUCGCUCCGCGCGCGGCGGCGGCGGCAGCGGGCGCUCCUCGAGGCCGGCCCCGGCGGUCGCGGCGCGGUCCCGCGGGCCGCAGCGCGGGCGCUACUCUCGGGCCGCCGUCCGCCGCGCCGCCUUCUCGGCCACUGCCGGCGGCUCCCCCGGCGAGCGGGCGGGCCCGGCGCGGGCCCCGCCUCCGCCGCGCCCGCCCCCGCCUCCGCGCCGGGCCUCGCGGGCUCGGCGCGCUACUCCGGGCGGCCCCGCAUGCCGCCGCCGCUGCCGCUAGCUCGGGGCCGCCUCAGCGC
ensembl:lncRNA